AAGUCGUAACAAGGUUUCCGUAGGUGAACCUGCGGAAGGAUCAUUAUCGUGGGGCUUCGGCCCUCUCGAGAUAGAACCCUUGCCUUUUUGAGUACCUUCGUUUCCUCAGCAGGCUCGCCUGCCAAUGGGGACCCCAAUAAACCCUUUGUAAUACCUGUAAUCGUCUGACAAAACAAACAAAAAUUAAAACUUUCAACAACGGAUCUCUUGGUUCUG
rnacentral:misc_RNA from 1 species